rnacentral:rRNA from 1 species
UAGGGAAUCUUCCGCAAUGGGCGAAAGCUUGACGGAGCAACGCCACGUGAGUGAUGAAGGUCUUCGGAUCGUAAAACUCUGUUAUUAGGGAAGAACAAAUGUGUAAGUAACUAUGCACGUCUUGACGGUACCUAAUCAGAAAGCCACGGCUAACUACGUGCCAGCAGCCGCGGUAAUACGUAGGUGGCAAGCGUUAUCCGGAAUUAUUGGGCGUAAAGCGCGCGUAGGCGGUUUUUUAAGUCUGAUGUGAAAGCCCACGGCUCAACCGUGGAUGGUCCUUGGCAACUGGAAAACUUGAGUGCAGACGAGGAAAGUGGAAUUCCAUGUGUAGCGGUGAAAUGCGCAUAGCUAUGGAGGAACACCCGUGGCGACGGCCCCUUUCUGGUCUGUAACUGACGCUUAUGUGCGACAGCGUGGGGUUCAAACAGG